CCUACGGGAGGCAGCAGUGAGGAAUAUUGGUCAAUGGACGAGAGUCUGAACCAGCCAAGUGGCGUGAAGGAUGACUGCCCUAUGGGUUGUAAACUUCUUUUAUAUGGGAAUAAAACGUUCCACGUGUGGGAUUUUGUAUGUACCAUAUGAAUAAGGAUCGGCUAACUCCGUGCCAGCAGCCGCGGUAAUACGGAGGAUCCGAGCGUUAUCCGGAUUUAUUGGGUUUAAAGGGAGCGUAGGUGGAUUGUUAAGUCAGUUGUGAAAGUUUGCGGCUCAACCGUAAAAUUGCAGUUGAAACUGGCAGUCUUGAGUACAGUAGAGGUGGGCGGAAGUCGUGGUGUAGCGGUGAAAUGCUUAGAUAUCACGAAGAACUCCGAUUGCGAAGGCAGUUCACUGGACUGCAACUGACACUGAGGCUCGAAAGUGUGGGUAUCAAACAGGAUUAGAUACCCCUGUAGUC
rnacentral:rRNA from 1 species